GGCAUGCCUUAACAUGCAAGUCGAACGGUAACAGGUCUUCGGAUGCUGACGAGUGGCGAACGGGUGAGUAAUACAUCGGAACGUGCCCGAUCGUGGGGGAUAACGAAGCGAAAGCUUUGCUAAUACCGCAUAAGAUCUACGGAUGAAAGCAGGGGACCGCAAGGCCUUGCGCGAACGGAGCGGCCGAUGGCAGAUUAGGUAGUUGGUGGGAUAAAAGCUUACCAAGCCGACGAUCUGUAGCUGGUCUGAGAGGACGACCAGCCACACUGGGACUGAGACACGGCCCANACUCCUACGGGAGGCAGCANUGGGGAAUUUUGGACAAUGGGCGAAAGCCUGAUCCAGCCAUGCCGCGUGCAGGAUGAAGGCCUUCGGGUUGUAAACUGCUUUUGUACGGAACNAAAAGACUCUGGUUAAUACCUGGGGUCCAUGACNGUACCGUAAGAAUAAGCACCGGCUAACUACNUGCCAACNNCCGCGGUAAUACAUAUGGUGCAAGCGUUAAUCGNAAUUACUGGGCGUAAA
rnacentral:rRNA from 1 species